ACGGGAGCAGCGCGAGGAAUGCUGGGAUACUGGAGGUCCACCCCAGCGCUUCCUGCGGGUUUAGCGAUCCGUCAGAGUUAGAGAUGGAUCAUUUUGUGCGUUUAUUGUUUUAUCUGGACUUUCUGAAUUGACAAAUUUGGCAUCCGGGAAGAAAUGGUGAGGGACUGCUAAAUGCCUGAUAUCUGGAGGAAGGACUGAUUUCAAAGUCACCUUCAUUUUGACCUCAGGAAGCUACAGUUAAUUAGCCAGCCAUGAAGAACUGAGAAGACAGGUCUACGCAUCAAGUCUCUAGGAUGUCCUUGCAGGAGAUAGAGACAGACAGCGAGAGAGGGAACACAAGCAGGGGGAGUGGGAGAGGAAGAAGC